rnacentral:tRNA from 1 species
AUAGGGGAGUUUUGGCGUUUUUCAGGCCAUCAAAAGACCAUAUAAUUCUAUUAAAAUCAACAGCUUACGACAUUCUCAGCCACCACCUUGACAUGGUGGGGGUCGUUGGUUCGAGUCCAAUUGUGCCUACCA